GGCAGUUCUCCAGUGACACACCCAGAAUCUGACUCCCUCCUCUCUGGUUCCGGGGUGCGUCACCUGAGAACCACC
rfam:Myotis davidii contig196420, whole genome shotgun sequence.